rnacentral:tRNA from 1 species
GGCAAUGUGGCGGAGUGGUUAUCGCGCUAGCCUAGAACUCAUAUAGGUUAAAGCUAGUUCCUUAGGGAGCGUCAGUUCGAAUCUGGCCGUUGUCG